AUUGAACGCUGGCGGCAUGCUUUACACAUGCAAGUCGAACGGCAGCACGGGGGCAACCCUGGUGGCGCGUGGCGAACGGGUGAGUAAUACAUCGGAACGUGCCCGGCCGUGGGUGAUAACGUCGCGAAAGAUACGCUACUACCGCAUACGAGCUGAGGCUGCUACCGGGGGGGCUUCGGGCCUCGCGCGAGCGGAGCGGCGGAUGUCAGUUGAGGUAGUUGGUGGGGUAAAGGCCUACCAAGCCGAGGAUCUGUAGAUGGUCUGAGAGGACGACAGACCACACUAGGACUGAGACACGGCCCAGACUCCUAAGGGACGCAGCAGUGGGGAAUGGUGGACAAUGGGCGCAAGCCUGAUCCAGCCAUUCCGAGUGCAGUACGAAGGCCUUCGGUUUGUAAACAGCUUUUGCAUGGUACGAAAAGGCUCUGGCUAAUACCUGGGGCUCAUGACGGUACCGUAUAAAUAAGCACCGGCUAACUACGUG
rnacentral:rRNA from 1 species